CCAGCUAAGGUCCCAAAGUCAUGGUUAAGUGGGAAACGAUGUGGGAAGGCCCAGACAGCCAGGAUGUUGGCUUAGAAGCAGCCAUCAUUUAAAGAAAGCGUAAUAGCUCACUGGUCGAGUCGGCCUGCGCGGAAGAUGUAACGGGGCUAAACCAUGCACCGAAGCUGCGGCAGCGACACUGUGUGUUGUUGGGUAGGGGAGCGUUCUGUAAGCCUGUGAAGGUGUGUCGUGAGGCAUGCUGGAGGUAUCAGAAGUGCGAAUGCUGACAUAAGUAACGAUAAAGCGGGUGAAAAGCCCGCUCGCCGGAAGACCAAGGGUUCCUGUCCAACGUUAAUCGGGGCAGGGUGAGUCGACCCCUAAGGCGAGGCCGAAAGGCGUAGUCGAUGGGAAACGGGUUAAUAUUCCCGUACUUGGUGUUACUGCGAAGGGGGGACGGAGAAGGCUAUGUUGGCCGGGCGACGGUUGUCCCGGUUUAAGCGUGUAGGUGUGUGUUCCAGGUAAAUCCGGUUCACUUUAACACUGAGGCGUGAUGACGAGGCACUACGGUGCUGAAGCAACAAAUGCCCUGCUUCCAGGAAAAGCCUCUAAGCAUCAGGUAACAUCAAAUCGUACCCCAAACCGACACAGGUGGUCAGGUAGAGAAUACCAAGGCGCUUGAGAGAACUCGGGUGAAGGAACUAGGCAAAAUGGUGCCGUAACUUCGGGAG
rnacentral:rRNA from 1 species